AACAUCGCGCACCUGCGGGAACCUGCGAGGGAUCAUUAAUGAUUGGUGGCUGUUGCUGACUAGUGUUUCUAGUAUGUGCACGCCACACCUUCAAUCCCACUUACACCUGUGCACCUUCUGUAAUAGAUCUAUGUGGAUACGGAGAUAUGAAAGUUUGCGCUCUCGUACUCUGUUGAAGCAGUCUACUACGUUUUUUUACACACACACAAUAGUCAUUGAAUGUAUUUUUUAUUCUUAUGA
rnacentral:misc_RNA from 1 species